UACGUAGGGUGCGAGCGUUAAUCGGAAUUACUGGGCGUAAAGCGUGCGCAGGCGGUUUUGUAAGCCAGUUGUGAAAUCCCCGGGCUUAACCUGGGAAUGGCAUUUGGGACUGCAAGGCUGGAGUACGGCAGAGGAGACUGGAAUUCCUGGUGUAGCAGUGAAAUGCGUAGAGAUCAGGAGGAAUACCGAUGGCGAAGGCAGGUCUCUGGGCUGAUACUGACGCUCAUGCACGAAAGCGUGGGGAGCAAACAGG
rnacentral:rRNA from 1 species